rnacentral:rRNA from 1 species
CCUACGGGUGGCAGCAGUGGGGAAUAUUGCACAAUGGGGGAAACCCUGAUGCAGCGACGCCGCGUGAAGGAAGAAGUAUUUCGGUAUGUAACCUUCUAUCAGCAGGGAAGAAAAUGACGGUACCUGACUAAGAAGCCCCGGCUAACUACGGGCCAGCAGCCGCGGUAAUACGUAGGGGGCAAGCGUUAUCCGGAUUUACUGGGUGUAAAGGGAGCGUAGGCGGCGAUGCAAGUCAGAAGUGAAAGCACCGGGCUCAACUCCGGGACUGCUGUUGAAACUGGGGUGCUUGAUUGCAGGAGAGGUAAGUGGAAUGCCUGGGGUAGCGGUGAAAUGCGUAGAUAUUAGGCGGAACACCGGUGGCGAAGGCGGCUUACUGGACUGUAAAUGACGCUGAGGCUCGAAAGCGUGGGGAGCAAACAGGAUUAGAUACCCGGGUAGUC